GGGUCUGUAGCUCAGUUUGGUUAGAGCGCACCCCUGAUAAGGGUGAGGUCGGAAGUUCAAGUCUUCCCAGACCCACCA
rnacentral:tRNA from 1 species